GGGCUCGUAGUCGAACGGUAAGACGCUGCCUUCGCAAGGCAGAGACUCCGGGUUCGAUUCCCGGCGAGUCCA
rnacentral:tRNA from 1 species